rnacentral:lncRNA from 1 species
CCAGGACUUACAACGACCCAAACAACAAGAAAGAAAACAAAGAAAACUGAAAACGGCAGAUACAAGGUGCUUCCAAACAGCUUACACACACCACAACAGAGAGCACAAGGAUAUUCUACCGGAAGUCUAGCUAAAUGUUGAUGGAGCUCUUCGACGCGAAUUAAGCACCAAAACAGUGACAGCAAGCGAGCUUCAAGAGGAAAUCGCGCUCAGCGAAGAUGAACAUGCCCUCAUCAAACCCAAAGGAGACCACCAUCAUCGAACCUUCCUUCUUCAAUUCCGAAGGGGACCCCUGCCCCUCGCCCUGGAUCGAAGGGCGCCGGACCGUUGCAAAUUGAAGCAGCUCACCCUAGAGCAAGGAGCGGUAGAUUCAGUAUCGCCUUGGGAGAUACUCAGUGUGACCAACCCACUGUGCAAGAUCACCAGGAGAAGGGCCAAACCGCAGCUCAAUGGUCACCAUACGAAGAGAAGAAGCUGUAGAAGGACGAGGCAACGAAGAAACAAUCGCAGAGUUGAUAAACACCUGAAGCUGAGACAUGAAUUUUGCUUAGAUUAGAAUCCAUGUCUGAAUCGCCUAUGUCGUGCUGCUGCAUGCAGGGGAGAGGAACCCUAUCCCCUCCCCCCACCAUGGCAACACACAAACGGCCGGCCUACGGACACCCCAGAGAGCUAAUCUUGUGAAAAAUCCCAGUGUUAUCUCCAACUGAGAUGUUGCUGCGCGCCGGAGAACCACACCUAAACGCCAAUGCACACCCCCAACUCGCCCAAGAUGACACCUUCAGGAAGGUGACGACGCAAGCCGCGCCGCUGCCGCCUAGACCAGAACUGCACCCGGGUAUGAGAGGGGAGGGAGAGGGGAUCGAACCUCGACGGCGCCUCCGAGAAGGGGAACGAUGCCAGCCGGCGUCACCGCCAUCGUGGCCGGAAAAGCCGGUCAAAGAUUUCUCCCGGUCCGAGCUCUCAACUCCGGCAACCCCACUUUCAACGGAUCCGGCGACCGACGCCCGCCACGACCCAGAUCCAGCGAGGAACAGGCAAGGGAAGGGGGAGGAAGAAGACCUCCAGAUUUGACGCGAAG